GAACUUCUAGGAGAUGUGGUGUUUCAUCACUUGGAUAUAUGUAUAGUUUCAGUAUAGUUACUUUGGAAAUUCUAGCAAGGCUUGAUAUUUCUCUAUUAUAGGAGUUAGGUCUAUGUAAAUUACCACAAAUUCAUUUUCCAAUACAAAACCAUGGUUUUGAUAGCAUCAUCUUAUACAAGGACCCUUAACAGAUUAGCUAUAACGCCCUAACAUUCACUAAAUAAAUUUUGGUCUUUCAUGUUUAACCUCUCAAAACAACCCUUAGCUUGGGACUUCAUUGGUCUUCCUAGUAACAUUAAGUGUUGAAGUUAAUGCAUUUUCCAAGUUUAGACAAUUCUCCUCACGAUAUUGUAGUGUCUCAUAUUUGACUAGGAAAUACACAAUGGACCGUUAACAUUUUAGCCUUGUUAGAAGCUAGCACUAUCCUGUUUAAAGACAUUAAGAAUGAUCCUUGUCAACUUUAACACUGCAUAAAAGAAGAAGAAAAAAACAUGGUUUUAUGCCCCAUGUCCUAAAGGUAACCAAAGGAUAGGUUUCAGUUUCAUCUAUAUGUGAAUGGGUAAUCUAGCUAAUCUAACUUCUUCAUCAAUAAUAGGCUUUUAUUGUGGGCUCAAGUUCAACCAUAAUAAGUUACUUGAAACUCUACUUAGGCUACUAGGUUUCCUUUUGUAGUCCCAUAUAUGAGAGCAAAUUUCCCAUUUAGUUGAGAACUGGUUAUAUGAGCUUUAAGACCUUCUAGUGUCACCUUCCUCUUUUUAAUCUUAGGACAAGGGUCCAAGGUGUGUUCAACUCAAAAUUUCUUUUUAU
rnacentral:lncRNA from 1 species